UCGUGAAUCUUCCGCAAUGGGCGAAAGCCUGAUCCAGCCAUGCCGCGUGUGUGAAGAAGGUCUUCGGAUUGUAAAGCACUUUAAGUUGGGAGGAAGGGCAGUUACCUAAUACGUGAUUGUUUUGACGUUACCGACAGAAUAAGCACCGGCUAACUCUGUGCCAGCAGCCGCGGUAAUACAGAGGGUGCAAGCGUUAAUCGGAAUUACUGGGCGUAAAGCGCGCGUAGGUGGUUAGUUAAGUUGGAUGUGAAAUCCCCGGGCUCAACCUGGGAACUGCAUUCAAAACUGACUGACUAGAGUAUGGUAGAGGGUGGUGGAAUUUCCUGUGUAGCGGUGAAAUGCGUAGAUAUAGGAAGGAACACCAGUGGCGAAGGCGACCACCUGGACUGAUACUGACACUGAGGUGCGAAAGCGUGGGGAGCAAACAGGAUUAGAUACCCCUGUAGUCCCUGAGCGGGCUGGCAAGGCGCAU
rnacentral:rRNA from 1 species